rnacentral:lncRNA from 1 species
CCUCUGGAGAAGCGUAGGUCGAGAGCCGUGCGUCCUCCAAAACACAACUCCUCCAAGCCGCACUGCUUCUUGACACAAUGCAUGCCAAUUGUGCGUCGCCUCACGUGCAUGUACACGAGAUAACGGUAAAUUGCCGCUUGUCGCUUAGGCCGCCCGUUGUGACUCGCUUGUGGGCGUGCUGGCAGCAUAUGGCAACAUGUUCGAUUGUGCAUCAAGAAUUCAGCAUAGCAAGUUCGUAUGAAGGUCUGGUUAUUAAAUGGGUACAUAGUUCAAUAGUAAUAUCCUCUAAAACGCUCUGGUGACAAACUUUGCUGCCCUGUUUCCAAUUGUCCACAUGGCUGGGAGAACCUAUUCAACACUGCACAGCUGAUUCAAAUGGUCAACUCCUCAUCAAGCUAUUCCGUCUCUCACAGUUGAAGUGUACCUAUGAUAAAAAUGACAGACAUCUACAUGCUUUGUAAGUAGGAAAACCUGCAAAAUCGGCAGUGUAUCAAAUACUUGUUCUCCCCACUGUACGUCUGCCCAUGCAUCUAUCAAUCCAAUGUUAUCAUGAUUUGUUAUCAGGAAUAUUGUACUUUAGUAAUCCACAAUGACCUGG